rnacentral:rRNA from 1 species
GCAGUCGACGGUAGCACAGAGGAGCUUGCUCCUUGGGUGACGAGUGGCGGACGGGUGAGUAAUGUCUGGGAAACUGCCCGAUGGAGGGGGAUAACUACUGGAAACGGUAGCUAAUACCGCAUAACGUCGCGAGACCAAAGAGGGGGACCUUCGGGCCUCUUGCCAUCGGAUGUGCCCAGAUGGGAUUAGCUAGUAGGUGGGGUAACGGCUCACCUAGGCGACGAUCCCUAGCUGGUCUGAGAGGAUGACCAGCCACACUGGAACUGAGACACGGUCCAGACUCCUACGGGAGGCAGCAGUGGGGAAUAUUGCACAAUGGGCGCAAGCCUGAUGCAGCCAUGCCGCGUGUAUGAAGAAGGCCUUCGGGUUGUAAAGUACUUUCAGCGAGGAGGAAGGGGAUGUGGUUAAUAACCGCAUUCAUUGACGUUACUCGCAGAAGAAGCACCGGCUAACUCCGUGCCAGCAGCCGCGGUAAUACGGAGGGUGCAAGCGUUAAUCGGAAUUACUGGGCGUAAAGCGUGCGCAGGCGGUUUGUUAAGCGAGAUGUGAAAGCCCUGGGCUCAACCUAGGAAUAGCAUUUCGAACUGGCGAACUAGAGUCUUGUAGAGGGGGGUAGAAUUCCAGGUGUAGCGGUGAAAUGCGUAGAGAUCUGGAGGAAUACCGGUGGCGAAGGCGGCCCCCUGGACAAAGACUGACGCUCAUGCACGAAAGCGUGGGGAGCAACAGGAUUAGAUACCCUGGUAGUC